CAGCAGCCGCGGUAAUACGGAGGAUCCAAGCGUUAUCCGGAUUUAUUGGGUUUAAAGGGUGCGUAGGUGGCCUGUUAAGUCAGGGGUGAAAGACGGUAGCUUAACUAUCGCAGUGCCCUUGAUACUGAUGGGCUUGAAUGAACUAGAGGUAGGCGGAAUGUGACAAGUAGCGGUGAAAUGCAUAGAUAUGUCACAGAACACCAAUUGCGAAGGCAGCUUACUAUGGUUUUAUUGACACUGAGGCACGAAAGCGUGGGGAUCAAACAGGAUUAGAUACCCCAGUAGUCCCUGUCUCUUAUAC
rnacentral:rRNA from 1 species